rnacentral:rRNA from 1 species
GCAUAUCAAUAAGCGGAGGAAAAGAAACUAACAAGGAUUCCCCUAGUAACUGCGAGUGAAGCGGGAAAAGCUCAAAUUUAAAAUCUGGUGGUCUUUGGCCAUCCGAGUUGUAAUCUAGAGAAGUGUUACCCGCGUCGGACCGUGUACAAGUCUCCUGGAAUGGAGCGUCAUAGAGGGUGAGAAUCCCGUCUUUGACACGGACCCCCGAGGCUUUGUGGUGCGCUCUCAAAGAGUCGAGUUGUUUGGGAAUGCAGCUCAAAAUGGGUGGUAAAUUCCAUCUAAAGCUAAAUAUUGGCGAGAGACCGAUAGCGAACAAGUACCGUGAGGGAAAGAUGAAAAGAACUUUGGAAAGAGAGUUAAACAGUACGUGAAAUUGCUGAAAGGGAAACGCUUGAAGUCAGUCGCGUUGGCCGGAAAUCAGCCUUCCUUUUGGUUGGUGUACUUUCUGGUUGACGGGCCAGCAUCAGUUUUGACCGGUGGAUAAAGUUGUGAGGAAUGUGGCAUCUUCGGGUGUGUUAUAGCCUCGCUUCGUAUACAUCGAUUGGGACUGAGGAACUCAGCACGCCGAAAGGCCGGGGUUCGCCCACGUUCGUGCUUAGGAUGCUGGCAUAAUGGCUUUAAUCGACCCGUCUUGAAACACGGACCAAGGAGUCUAACAUGCCUGCGAGUGUUUGGGUGGAAAACCCGAGCGCGUAAUGAAAGUGAAAGUCGAGAUCCUUGUCAUGGGGAGCAUCGACGCCCGGACCAGAAGUUUACGGACGGCCCUGCGGUAGAGCAUGUAUGUUGGGACCCGAAAGAUGGUGAACUAUGCCUGAAUAGGGUGAAGCCAGAGGAAACUCUGGUGGAGGCUCGUAGCGAUUCUGACGUGCAAAUCGAUCGUCAAAUUUGGGUAUAGGGGCGAAAGACUAAUCGAACCAUCUAGUAGCUGGUUCUGCGA